CCUACGGGCGGCUGCAGUGGGGAAUAUUGGACAAUGGGGGGAACCCUGAUCCAGCCAUGCCGCGUGUGUGAAGAAGGCCCUCGGGUUGUAAAGCACUUUCAGUGAGGAAGAACGCCUGGUGGUUAAUACCCAUCAGGAAAGACAUCACUCACAGAAGAAGCACCGGCUAACUCCGUGCCAGCAGUCGCGGUAAUACGGAGGGUGCGAGCGUUAAUCGGAAUUACUGGGCGUAAAGCGCGCGUAGGUGGCUUGAUAAGCCGGUUGUGAAAGCCCCGGGCUCAACCUGGGAACGGCAUCCGGAACUGUCAAGCUAGAGUGCAGGAGAGGAAGGUAGAAUUCCCGGUGUAGCGGUGAAAUGCGUAGAGAUCGGGAGGAAUACCAGUGGCGAAGGCGGCCUUCUGGACUGACACUGACACUGAGGUGCGAAAGCGUGGGUAGCAAACAGGAUUAGAUACCCUUGUAGUC
rnacentral:rRNA from 1 species